rnacentral:rRNA from 1 species
GUGCGAAGCGUUAAUCGGAAUUACUGGGCGUAAAGCGCACGUAGGCCGCUUUGUAAGUCAGGGGUGAAAUCCCACGGCUCAACCGUGGAACUGCCCUUGAAACUGCAGAGCUUGAAUCCUGGUGAGGGUGGCGGAAUUCCUGGUGUAGGAGUGAAAUCCGUAGAUAUCAGGAGGAACACCGGUGGCGAAGGCGGCCACCUGGACAGGCAUUGACGCUGAGGUGCGAAAGUGUGGGGAGC